rnacentral:tmRNA from 1 species
GGGGGUGACUGGAUUUGACAGCGAGCCGAGAUGGUGCGUAAGCAUGCGGAGUGACGACUGUGGACUCCCUAAUCACGUCGGUCAGAAAUUUAAUUGGCGAAAACAAGUACGCUCUCGCUGCCUAAACGAAGUACAGUAGUUUACUGGCUUAAUUCCCUUACAAGGUAGGGGAACGAGACAUCGUUCCAAGGAUGUUGUUCCGAAUCCGAGGGUCAAGCGGUGCAGGAAAAUCGGGAAUAGUCCGUCGGGCGCUCCGACUGGUGGAUGAAGAUUUAGGAGCUAAGGUCGCAGUUGGUGGUCCAGGUC